UACGUAGGUGGCAAGCGUUUGUCCGGAUUUAUUGGGUUUAAAGGGUGCGUAGGCGGUUUUAUAAGUCAGUGGUGAAAUACGGCAGCUCAACUGUCGAGGUGCCAUUGAUACUGUAGAACUUGAGUACAGACGAGGUAGGCGGAAUUGACGGUGUAGCGGUGAAAUGCUUAGAUAUCGUCAAGAACACCGAUAGCGAAGGCAGCUUACUAGACUGUAACUGACGCUGAGGCACGAAAGUGUGGGGAUCAAACAGG
rnacentral:rRNA from 1 species